rnacentral:rRNA from 1 species
ACGUGGACGCUAGUGUCUGAGAUUAAGCCAUGCAUGUGAGUGAAUGUAGUAAGCAGGAACUGCGGACGGCUCAGUAAGACUACGAUGAAAUGAUCUGCGAGGAAGAAGUAACGGCGGGAAACUGAAGAUGAGAGCUUCUGAGAAUAGUUGAGGAGAGUGCUGAGAAGAGAUUCUGAGUGUGAUUGAGAGUAUUUGAGCGGAGUGUGUUGUAGACCUAUCAGCUGGUAGCUAGGGUAAUGGCCUAGGUAGGCGACGACGGGAGACGGGGGAUUAGGGUUUGAUUCCGGAGAGGGAGCCUGAGAGAUGGCUACUACGUCCAAGGAUGGCAGCAGGCGCGAAACUUGCCUAAUCCUGUGGGGAGGCGGUUAUGAGACGUAUGAUGAAAGUUAAGAGGCGGACGAUGAAAGAGUCUGUUGAUAUUGGAGGGCAAGUCGGGUGCCAGCAGCCGCGGUAAUACCUGCUCCGAUGGUGUCUAUGGUGAAUGCUGCGGUUAAAAAGUCUGUAGUUGAGUGAGGAUGUGUAUGAGUAUGAAAGUGAUUGAACUAGGGUUGAAUAGCUUGUAUGUAUGAGGAGAGCAACGGAGGGGGUGCACUGGAUAGCUGGGCGAGAGGUGAAAUGUGAAGACCCUGGCUGGACGAACGGAGGCGAAGGCUGUGUGCCACGACGAGUGUGAUGAUCAAAGUGUUGCACACUGAUUGCCGACAAUGCAUGGCAAUGACGAGAGUCAGGAUCGAAAUCGAUUAGAUACCGUUUUAGUUCUGGCAGUAAACGAUGCUGACGGGAUGACACGUAUGUGUGUUAUGCAAGAGAAAUUGAGUAUGUGAGCUCUGGGGAUAGUAUGUUCGCAAGGGUGAAACUUAAAGAGAUUGACGGAAGGACACCACAAGGAGUGGAGUGUGCGGCUUAAUUUGACUCAACGCGGGGCAACUUACCAGGGCUGAAGAUGUGUGGAGAACUGAGAAGGGAGCAUAUUGGCGGUGGUGCAUGGCCGUUUGAAACGGAUGGCGUGAGCUGAGGAUUAAUUUCCGGAAGGCGUGAGACCCACAAGACAGGUUGUUUGGAUGACAGGAGGGGGUGGAACAGAACAGGUCCGUUAUGCCCUGAGAUGUCCUGGGCGGCACGCGCACUACGAUACGUGUAUGAGAUGUGUGAGGGAUGAAUGUGUGGAAUGGCAUUCUGAACGUGGAAUUCCUAGUAAUGGUGGCUCAACAAGCCGACGUGAAUGUGUCCCUGUCCUUU